UUUUAUGAUGAUUUCAAAUUUAUCGCUCCAGUCUUAGGGUCCGUUUAGGUGGAUAUGUGCUGAUUGACAUACUAUUAAA
rfam:Triticum urartu cultivar G1812 contig514119, whole genome shotgun sequence.